GCAGGAAUGGCGGAAUUGGCAGACGCGCAGGCUUCAGGUGCCUGUGGCAGCAAUGUCGUGUGGGUUCAAGUCCCAUUUCCUGCACUA
rnacentral:tRNA from 1 species